CGCGUAGGCGGUUCGCUAAGUCGGAUGUGAAAACUCUGGGCUCAACCCAGAGCCUGCAUCCGAAACUGGCGGGCUGGAGUUCUGGAGGGGGUAGCGGAAUUCCUGGUGUAGCGGUGAAAUGCGUAGAUAUCAGGAGGAACACCGGUGGCGAAGGCGGCUACCUGGACAGAAACUGACGCUGAGGCGCGAAAGCUAGGGGAGCAAACAGGAUUAGAUACCCUGGUAGUCCUAGCCCUAAACGAUGGAUACUUGGUGUGACUGGGAUUGAAUCCAGUCGUGCCGAAGCUAACGCAUUAAGUAUCCCGCCUGGGGAGUACGGUCGCAAGGCUGAA
rnacentral:rRNA from 1 species